rnacentral:lncRNA from 1 species
GGAGAUGAUGAAAGUCGAGAAUUUUGAUGAAGUUGGCAUGAUUUUGAAGAGAUAAUUAGAGCUGGGCUUGGAGUUAUUUAUUUUAUAUUUAGUUAAGCCUUAAACUCUUGUUUUUAUUUAUUUUUGGGCCUUUGUGGUGUUGGCCGAUUAAGCCCAUUUAGUGGGCUAAGAGACGGUUAUUUGAGGGAUUAAAUCCCUUGACCUUGUGCUCCACUCAGCCGCCAACUAGGGA